rnacentral:SRP_RNA from 1 species
UCAGCUUUAAAUGGUUUGUGAGUUGUUGCUGUAUUUCCACUGUCCUCUUCCUCUUUUUUCCUUUUGCCCUUGUACUCAUUCUUUGCUAAAUGAUUUCGUUCUUCCGCCUUCUACAAUGUUAUGCAGAAUCUUGUGUCAUUUCUUGAUGUAGC